rnacentral:rRNA from 1 species
GAACGCUGACAGAAUGCUUAACACAUGCAAGUCGACUCGAGUCUUCGGACUUGGGUGGCGGACGGGUGAGUAACGCGUAAAGAACUUGCCUUUUAGCCUGGGACAACAUCUGGAAACGGAUGCUAAUACCGGAUAUUAUGAUUUCUUUGCAUGAAGGAGUCAUGAAAGCUAUAUGCGCUAGAAGAGAGCUUUGCGUCCCAUUAGCUAGUUGGUGAGGUAACGGCCCACCAAGGCGAUGAUGGGUAGCCGGCCUGAGAGGGUGAACGGCCACAAGGGGACUGAGACACGGCCCUUACUCCUACGGGAGGCAGCAGUGGGGAAUAUUGGACAAUGGACCGAAAGUCUGAUCCAGCAAUUCUGUGUGCACGAUGACGUUUUUCGGAAUGUAAAGUGCUUUCAGUCGGGAAGAAGGAAGUGACGGUACCGACAGAAGAAGCGACGGCUAAAU